rnacentral:rRNA from 1 species
GCGUGAGUGAAGAAGGCCUUCGGGUUGUAAGUCUCUUUUGUCCGGAGCGAAACGGUUGUGGUGAAUAUCCACGACUACUGACGGUACCGGAAGAAUAAGCACCGGCUAACUACGUGCCAGCAGCCGCGGUAAUACGUAGGGUGCGAGCGUUAAUCGGAAUUACUGGGCGUAAAGCGUGCGCAGGCGGGCUUUUAAGCCAGACGUGAAAUCCCCGGGCUUAACCUGGGAAUGGCGUUUGGGACUGGAAGUCUGGAGUGCGGCAGAGGAGACUGGAAUUCCUGGUGUAGCAGUGAAAUGCGUAGAUAUCAGGAGGAACACCGAUGGCGAAGGCAGGUCUCUGGGCUGACACUGACGCUCAAGCACGAAAGCGUGGGGAGCAAACAGGAUUAGAUACCCUGGUAGUCCACGCCCUAAACGAUGUCGACUGGUUGUUGGGGGUUUGACACUCUCAGUAACGAAGCUAACGCGUGAAGUCGACCGCCUGGGGAGUACGGCCGCAAGGUUA